UGCCCACUGAUAGAUAAAUUGAAGGGCUGCAGUAUUUUGACUGUACAAAGGUAGCAUAAUCAUUAGUCAUUUAAUUGGUGACUUGUAUGAAGGAUUGGAUGAAAUAUAGACUGUCUUUUAUGUAAAAUAUAAAAUUUAAUUUUUUAAUUAAAAAGUUAAAAUAAUUUAAAAAGACGAGAAGACCCUAUAGAGUUUUAUUUUAUUAUAAAUUAAGAUUUUAUAUAAAAAUAUUAAUUUAAAUUUAUAAUUUAAUUUUAUUGGGGUGAUAGAAAAAUUAAAUUAACUUUUUUUAUAUAUAAAACAUAUAUAAGUGAAUAUUUGAUCCAAUUUUAUUGAUUAAAAGAAAAAAUUACCUUAGGGAUAACAGCGUAAUUUUUUCUUUUAGUUCUUAUAAAAGAAAGAGUUUGCGACCUCGAUGUUGGAUUAAGAUAAAAUUUAAAUGCAGAAGUUUAAAGUUUUGA
rnacentral:rRNA from 1 species